rnacentral:rRNA from 1 species
UACGAAGGGGGCUAGCGUUGUUCGGAAUUACUGGGCGUAAAGGGCGCGUAGGCGGCGCAUCAAGUCAGGCGUGAAAGCCCCGGGCUCAACCUGGGAACCGCGCUUGAGACUGGUGGGCUCGAGUUCGGGAGAGGAUGGUGGAAUUCCCAGUGUAGAGGUGAAAUUCGUAGAUAUUGGGAAGAACACCGAUGGCGAAGGCAGCCAUCUGGACCGACACUGACGCUGAGGCGCGAAAGCGUGGGGAGCAAACAGGG